rnacentral:rRNA from 1 species
AUUGAACGCUGGCGGCAGGCCUAACACAUGCAAGUCGAGCGGUUGAAGGGAGCUUGCUCCUGGAUUCAGCGGCGGACGGGUGAGUAAUGCCUAGGAAUCUGCCUGGUAGUGGGGGAUAACGUCCGGAAACGGGCGCUAAUACCGCAUACGCCCUGAGGGAGAACGUGGGGGAUCUUCGGACCUCACGCUAUCAGAUGAGCCUAGGUCGGAUUAGCUAGUUGGUGGGGUAAAGGCCUACCAAGGCGACGAUCCGUAACUGGUCUGAGAGGAUGAUCAGUCACACUGGAACUGAGACACGGUCCAGACUCCUACGGGAGGCAGCAGUGGGGAAUAUUGGACAAUGGGCGAAAGCCUGAUCCAGCCAUGCCGCGUGUGUGAAGAAGGUCUUCGGAUUGUAAAGCACUUUAAGUUGGGAGGAAGGGCAGUAAGUUAAUACCUUGCUGUUUUGACGUUACCAACAGAAUAAGCACCGGCUAACUUCGUG